GAGUUUGAUCUUGGCUCAGAUUGAACGCUGGCGGCAUGCCUUACACAUGCAAGUCGAACGGCAGCACGGGAGCUUGCUCCUGGUGGCGAGUGGCGAACGGGUGAGUAAUGCAUCGGAACGUAUCCUGGAGUGGGGGAUAACGUAGCGAAAGUUACGCUAAUACCGCAUAUUCUGUGAGCAGGAAAGCGGGGGACCUUCGGGCCUCGCGCUCUUGGAGCGGCCGAUGUCGGAUUAGCUAGUUGGUGAGGUAAAGGCUCACCAAGGCGACGAUCCGUAGCAGGUCUGAGAGGAUGAUCUGCCACACUGGAACUGAGACACGGUCCAGACUCCUACGGGAGCAGCAGUGGGAAUUUGGACAAUGGGGGCAACCCUGAUCCAGCCAUGCCGCGUGAGUGAAGAAGGCCUCGG
rnacentral:rRNA from 1 species